GGCGGACGGGUGCGUAACGCGUAUGCAACCUGCCUUAUGCAGGGGGAUAGCCCAUGGAAACGUGGAUUAAUACCCCAUAAAAUUAUAUUAUUGCCUGAUAGUAUAAUAAAAGUUUAGGCGGCAUAAGAUGGGCAUGCGUCUGAUUAGUUAGUUGGUAAGGUAACGGCUUACCAAGGCGACGAUCAGUAGGGGUCCUGAGAGGGUUUCCCCCCACACUGGUACUGAGACACGGACCAGACUCCUACGGGAGGCAGCAGUGAGGAAUAUUGGUCAAUGGCCGGAAGGCUGAACCAGCCAUCCCGCGUGCAGGAUGACAGCCCUAUGGGUUGUAAACUGUUUUUCUUUGUGAAGAACAACCCCGACGAGUCGGGGUAUGCCGGUAGCAAAGGAAUAAGCAUCGGCUAACUCCGUGCCAGCAGCCGCGGUAAUACGGAGGAUGCGAGUGUUAUCCGGAUUCAUUGGGUUUAAAGGGUGCGCAAGGCGGGGAUGUAAGUCAGUGGUGAAAAGCUACCGCUUAACGGUAAGUCUUGCCAAUGAUACUGCAUUUCUUUGAGUAUGGAUGAGGUAGGCGGAAUGUGCAGUGUAGCGGUGAAAUGCAUA
rnacentral:rRNA from 1 species